rnacentral:rRNA from 1 species
GACGAACGCUGGCGGCGUGCCUAAUACAUGCAAGUCGAACGCAUUUUCUUUCACCGUAGCUUGCUACACCGAAAGAAAAUGAGUGGCGAACGGGUGAGUAACACGUGGGUAACCUGCCCAUCAGCGGGGGAUAACACUUGGAAACAGGUGCUAAUACCGCAUAAUUCCAUUUACUGCAUGGUAGAUGGAUGAAAGGCGCUUUUGCGUCACUGAUGGAUGGACCCGCGGUGCAUUAGCUAGCUGGUGGGGUAACGGCCUACCAAGGCUGCGAUGCAUAGCCGACCUGAGAGGGUGAUCGGCCACACUGGGACUGAGACACGGCCCAGACUCCUACGGGAGGCAGCAGUAGGGAAUCUUCGGCAAUGGACGCAAGUCUGACCGAGCAACGCCGCGUGAGUGAAGAAGGUUUUCGGAUCGUAAAACUCUGUUGUUAGAAAAGAACAAGGAUGAGAGUGGAAAGUUCAUCCCUUGACGGUAUCUAACCAGAAAGCCACGGCUAACUACGUG